rnacentral:rRNA from 1 species
CAGUCGCCACAGGAAUACGUAGGUGGCAAGCGUUGUCCGGAAUUAUUGGGCGUAAAGGGCUCGCAGGCGGUUUCUUAAGUCUGAUGUGAAAGCCCCCGGCUCAACCGGGGAGGGUCAUUGGAAACUGGGAAACUUGAGUGCAGAAGAGGAGAGUGGAAUUCCACGUGUAGCGGUGUAAUGCGUAGAGAUGUGGAGGAACACCAGUGGCGAAGGCGACUCUCUGGUCUGUAACUGACGCUGAGGAGCGAAAGCGUGGGGAGCGAACAGGAUUAGAUACCCGGGUAGUCCCGUCUCUUAUACA